rnacentral:rRNA from 1 species
UACGGAGGGUGCAAGCGUUAUCCGGAUUCACUGGGUUUAAAGGGUGCGUAGGUGGUUUUGUAAGUCAGUGGUGAAAGCCCGGAGCUCAACUCCGGAACUGCCAUUGAUACUGCUUAACUUGAAUCAACUUGAGGUGGAUGGAAUAUUACAUGUAGCGGUGAAAUACUUAGAUAUGUAAUAGAACACCGAUUGCGAAGGCAGUUCACUAAGGUUGUAUUGACACUGAGGCACGAAAGCGUGGGGAUCAAACAGG